UUGGAUGUUUAUGGUCACAAUGAAGAAGAAGAUGAAAGCCUUCAUCUUCUUUCUUCUCCUGGGAAUACAGGGGGCAGCGGCAGUGACCCACUCGCUGAAGUAUUUCUACACUGCGUCCUCUCAAGUCCCAAACUUCACAGAGUUUGUGGUUGUUGGGAUGGUUGAUGAUAUUCAGAUUGAAUAUUAUGACAGCAACACGGAGAAACUGGUGCCCAAACAGGACUGGGUGGACGGUGCAGUAGAUCCACAGUUCCAAGAGUGGUUCAAAGCCAACAUUGAGAUUUUAAAGCAGUGCUUCAACCAAACUGGAGGUUUUCACAUUGUCCAGCGGAUGUGCGGCUGUGAAUGGGAUGAAGACACAGGUGAAGUGACUGGAUAUAUGCAGUUUGGUUAUGAUGGAGAGGACUUCAUAAUGUUUGACCUGAAGGAACAGACGUGGGUCACUAAAAAACAACAGGCUGUCAUGACAACAAUAAAGUGGGAUCAUGACAGUGCUCUGACUGCUCUGUAUAAGAAUUACUUCACCCAGGUUUGUCCUGAGUCACUGAAGAAGUAUGUGAACUAUGGGAGGAGCUCUCUGAUGAAAACAGAUCUCCCCAAAGUGUCUCUCCUCCAGAAGUCUUCCUCCUCUCCAGUCACCUGCCACGCUACAGGUUUCUAUCCUAACAGAGCUGAGAUGGUUUGGAGGAAAGAUGGAGAGGAGUUUCAUGAGGGGGUGAACAAAGGAGAGAUUCUCACCAACAAUGACGGGACCUUCCAGAUGAGUGUUGACCUGGAUGUCUCAUCAAUCACACCUGAAGACUGGGACAGAUACAGCUGUGUGUUUCAGCUCUCUGGUGUGAACGAGGACAUCGUCACCACACUGGACAAAGCAGUGAUCAAAACCAACAAGGGUAAAAGUGAUGAAGGAAAUUCCCUCACCACGAUCAUCCUGAUCAUCGUUGCAACGCUUGUUCUCGCAGUGAUUGCUGUAAUUGGUUUCAUUGUCUACAAAAAGAGAACAGUGUCCAAGACACCUGGUAAUUCUGCUGGAGAUAUUAUCUGUGACAACGAAGACAGACAAAGUUUGAAUGAGCCUGUGAGCUUCACCAAGGAAUCUUCAACACUGAACUUCUGAGAAAAAGUUUCUGCUGCAACAGAAGUUAACAAUUUUUCUUCACUGUUUUGAUGCAGUUCUUGUCACAGUCCUAGCCCGAUGGCCAGUCCAGCUGUGCUCUCAACUCAGCCACCAUCAUGCCCCUCCAGCUCAUCAGCUGGGAACGUACACCUGGACCAAACCAAACCGUGAAAUAAUGAGGGCGGGGCCAGAGGCUGACUGGAAUUAUUCUGUGUUGCCAAAAACAAAACAAAACUAAUGCUAGGAAACAAACACGUUUAUAAGUACUUUGUGAAGCAUUUUUUAUGGUUUCUUUUCUUUCUUUCUUUUUUUACGUACUAAUAGAAAGUUUUCAUCAUUUUCCCCCUUACAGGCGGCCCUCGCCACACAUAUUGAUUUAAAAUUAAUACCAAUCAAUCCACUGAGAAACUUAACGAGGUUUUAUCCACUGGACGGAUCCCAAACCACCACGAUUCAGUGAAGCUCGGCGAAAUCACAUUUGAUAUGUAUUCCUCAUCAGUUGCACAAAAACAAAUUUUAAAAUGUGUUCUGUGCCUUUAAAGACGCUGUAACCUCACCCCAGAGGCAAUCUGUACCAAACAGCUAACCCCAGAUUAAAAAUACAUAAAUAAAUUAUACAUUGUAUACCCAACAUAACUACACCUGUCAUAACAUCAAAAAUAAUAAUGACCAGAUGA